GUGCGCAUCGGGAAUAUGCGCAUUUUACGUGAUAUCGAUUUCACCUUCGACAGAGCGCACAAUGUCGAUAUCGAUCGCACAGUCCACGGAAUGACGCAGCGCGGGAGGGGGCGACUCAUUUCUGUUUCGGUUGAGUGCGCGACACUCGCAUUUCGCGACAAAGGGAAUUAAUCUCAUCGUUUUUCUGUGUAAGUGCGAAUUCUCGUUGUACGAAUAUAUAACGCAGCUUAUUGGCUUCAUCCGCCGUACAAGAUUUCGCUCGAGAGCAAAAAGUUAGUGAGUAGACGAGACAAUCCAUGUUCACAUUUAUGUGCAUCGACUCUAUGUGUGCUAUGGUGGAUGUGAUUUCGUGCCAGAGAGCCUGUCCAGCGAGGAUCUUUAAACAGCCGGGAGGAUAACAGGGAAUAAAGGCAAGAAGGCGUACGGCUCCUUCGUGAGGAUCGGUGAAUCGCGAUACACAACCGAAAUAGUCGACGGUGUUUUAAAAGCUAUCCGCUACACGUGUAGAGACGUUUGGGUUAGGCUGUCCGCACCAUUCUUGCUGUAUCUUUUCAUCGUACGUGCCAAUAGAGUAUACCACCUUCGCUGGAUUUUACGGUUCGGGUUUUAUGGUUAUAUUUAUUACGUCGGGCUUCUACGGGGCUCGAGGAACGUUUUCCCUGGGAGCGAUUGCGACGGCCGAACCGGGAAUCUGGGUCGACGAAUGGAUCAUUGAAAAAGUUGGAAAUGACGUCGAUGUCGCGUCAGAAAGGCUGGAAAUUCUCGUUUAUAUGAAAACUGAUUCGCAGCAGUGGGGAUAUCCCGAAGUCGACGAUCUUUUAUAUGGUUCAAAUAUUCGUAAUUAACGUAUUUCCGCCGAUAUUGGAGAUCUAGCGCUAUCUCUAUGUAGAUAGAAUAAAGCAAUAGUAUGCAGCCAGAAAUUAUCUGAUAGAAGCUGGGCGAUAUCACGCUUAAUGGAGUAUCGACGAGACAGUGACAGGACUUGUUUUGAUGACCGGCGUUCGUCGCGCUGGCUGCACUUGAAGCUGCAAACGAUGCAUCAGCAAUGGCCAUAAUUCAUUGGCUCCAGCAGGUGUAUCCUCGUUUCCCCGGCCUCUUCUCACGAGCCAGCACGCACACACAGCACGCGGAUUCCGCGACGUGGAUCAACGCUGAUAUUCACGGCGAGCUGAAAACUAAUCGGGAUCGAAGGUAACGGAUGAGGAUACCUAGCUAUGCUGAAUCAUCUCGGAUGACGUAGAAAGCUAUCGAGGAUAUUAUACGUGGACCUUUUUCAACAUCCAACCUAGAAUGACCGAUGGUAUCCCUGAGAAUCUUGAUGGCGUUCCCGAGAUUUAUUUUGCGUAGUUAGUUAAAUGGAGAGAUCCAUUUUUAUUAGAACGGAGAUUAUAAUAACAAAUGUGGGAUUUUACUAUGUAAAAAUGUUUAGGAGAUUUUUAUCGAGCCUUUAAUAAGUUUAAGGAAUUAAUAGUGUUUACGUAAAUAAGAGUAGAAAUCAAAAGAGCUGCCAGUGAAAUAUUUGGUAUUAGUGGAAAUUAUUAAUAUUAGGGGUACAAAUUAUAUAAUUUGAUAGUUCGUAAGGAAAAUAAAAAUGUUCUUUAUGGUUUGUAAAGUUAAUCAUUAUUUAACAAAUUUUUCAUAAGACGAACAAAUAUUUGAAUUGAAACUAGGAAUGGAUAACUCUAAGCAUUUAAUAAAAUAAUACAGGAACGUCUUAGAGAAAUCGUACUUAUAUUUUUAUAUAGUUGUUCAAAAUUUCAGAUUGCAGGAAUUAUUGAUUUUGUUGAAUCUUUCGCUAGGAAAAUUGCAAAUGAGAAAAUAAUAUAUGGAAAUGGUAUUAAUUCAUAAAUCGAUUUCAGUCCUAAUGCCCUUGUAAAAAAUUUGGACGAUUUUAUAUUGAAUCCGCCUAUAAAAUACGUAUAUAAUCCAUAUUGCACUAAAAUAAAUGAAAAGAAGUCAUUAAAACCAUUAAAAUAAUACGAUUGAUAAAGGCAUGUUUUAUGAGGCUGCGAUAGGAUUUCGAAUCGAUUAAGAACGAAGUAAUAUGUUAUACUAUGGAGAAAAGAUUAAAUCUUUUUGAAUGAUAAUUCCUGUAUAAGUUCAUUUAUGUCUACGUGUAAUAAAAUGAAAAUUUCUGCAAAAGAUUUUUGCGUUAAAAGAUUAAUUGAAAGAUAAUAGAAUCGAUAUCAAGAAAAUAUUCUAACAUUCUAAAUACUAUAGCAUUUUGUAUAUUCUUGCAAAUUGUGUGCAUUCUAUGUACUUUUGUAAUUUAAAUUUCCUAUAAAUGCAUAAACAUCUACCUAUCUAUUGUAAUCUGAUAAUUUCACAGUCUAACACUCAAUAUCGAAACUCGAAGUGUAUACUUAAUAUUAUAAUACAGCAUCCUUCUCAAUUUUUUCUUGUAUAAAGAGCGAUUCCUUUAACGACUCUGCUGUUACUUUCACCAGAUUCUGCAGUGAUCUACUGAUAUAAAUCAAAUAUUCGAAUGUCAGGUGUAUCGGAUUGAAUAUAUAUAGGAAACGUUAUCCAGUUCGUUACAUUCGAGUUUCUUCCUUAAACCCGUUCCUAACAAGAAACUAUCGGAUCCACGGGUCGAUGUAUACGAAUUCUUUGCUUCUUAAGAUUUACUUUGUCUCUUCCUCCGGCUAGUUCUCGGUGCCACGUUCCAGGGCCGUUCGUCUUGCUCACAGUGGCCGUUCUUUCAGCGGAACGGUACCACCCUCGAAGACACCCUUUCCAUCGACAACGUUCUUUAAACUUUCCACUGCCUCCCACUAACAUUCACUUCGCAUCGAUUUCGACGUUCACGCCUCGAUGCGUCUUCUUCGCCCAGGGAUGUUACCUAUCGUUCUGCCCCCCCCCUCCCCCCACGUCUCUACACGAUCGCGCCUCCAAAAUGCCACCGUUCGAAUCGCGCCUCCUCUUUUCUGCGGUAAAACCUGAAAAAUGGCUCUGCUUACCACGAAACUUUUUCUCGAAACGUGUUCUCGGGUCGAGACUACACUCCUUUUGACGCAGGAGGAAGCACUUUUGGAUGCUGUUUGAUUUAGUAAUGGGGCGAUUAUGUGGUCGAUGAUAGUUUUCUUUAUUGAGGCAAAUUGAUAAUUCGCAAAGAAAUGCACAGCGAGUCGGGAAAGUAUUUGAACGUUUACCAUAGAAAAUUUGUAUGAAUGUAUAUUACACGAUAAUGAAUUUAAAAGUAAUCUGAAAACGUAUGGAUAUAAACGUGCGUAUUGAAAAUAUGCAGCAUAAAUACCGAACUUAA